UGGGGAAUCUUGCACAAUGGGGGCAACCCUGAUGCAGCGACGCCGCGUGAGCGAUGAAGGUUUUCGAAUCGUAAAGCUCUGUCCUAUGGGAAGAUAAUGACGGUACCAUAGGAGGAAGCCCCGGCUAACUACGUGCCAGCAGCCGCGGUAAUACGUAGGGGGCGAGCGUUGUCCGGAAUUACUGGGCGUAAAGGGUUCGCAGGCGGCAUGGCAAGUCCGAUGUAAAAGGCGAAGGCUCAACCUUCGUAAGCAUCGGAAACUGUCAAGCUUGAGUGAAGGAGAGGCAAGUGGAAUUCCUAGUGUAGCGGUGGAAUGCGUAGAUAUUAGGAGGAAUACCGGUGGCGAAGGCGACUUGCUAGACUUCAACUGACGCUGAGGAACGAAAGCGUGGGUAGCAAACAGG
rnacentral:rRNA from 1 species